rnacentral:tRNA from 1 species
GUGCCUGUAGCUCAGUUGGUAGAGCGUUCGGCUUAUACCCGAAUGGUCCCAGGUUCGAGUCCUGGCAGGCACA